CUUACCUUGUUUGAUGUAUGGGAUAACGGUUUCCAGAAAUUUUGGAUAGAGUUGAUAAAAGUCAUCAGCCAAGAAUCCUUCCAUGCGAAUUCGUUUCCCAAUAACAGAUGCUAGGUUGUGUACACCUUCAGGCUUUUCUUGAUUGUUCUGAGAGAUCAUUCCACACACAGCAAUCCGUCCACGAAUCCUCAUGUUUAGGAGUACUGCAUCAAGCAUUUUCCCUCCAACAUUUUCAAAGUAAAUAUCUAUGCCUUCAGGAAAAUACCUUUUUAAGAGCUGCAUCUAAAUCUGGCUCUUCCUUGUAGUUGAAAGCCUCAUCAAACCCGAACUUGUUCUUAAGCAGAUCAACCUUAUCUUUUGAUCCAGC
rnacentral:misc_RNA from 1 species